GGGGGGGCAUAGUGUCCAGACGAUUGUUUGGCAGGUUUUAUGUACAAUGUUUGGAUUUAGCUUAGCUGAAAGACAAGAACAGCACCUCACGUGAAAUAAAAAUACAAAGGGAGCUAAUAAAAGUGUGCGGCAUUGAGACACACAACAGAAAGUCAGAAAUAGAUCACCAUCUUGGCGCCCAGAGACAGAUCGAUUGCUAAGAGUUCACGAGAAGCAUUUCGUAUUUAAACGAUCCAUCAACCAUCAAUGGGACCUGGAAAAUUACUAAUGUUGCAGCAAAUUUGUUGCUGCAUAGUAGGAUAGAAACUUCUCUACCCGCUAAUCUAUAUCUCGACAUUCUAUCCAUUUGAUCACACGAAAGCCAGAUGAGAAACAUAAAAAGGGAUAACAGAGAUAGAAGAUAGCAGAAAGAUAUCUCAUAGGCGCUUUCAUAUAUCCUACUUUCUCUGUGAAAACAAUACUUGAACGUACCUUUUGAACAACUUGGAAUUAAAGAAAAAGUUGUGUUCACCCAAAAUUCAAAUUUUGUAGACUUUUAAAAAUAAAUACAUAUAUUAAUGCGGCUAUGAGAAUUGUUUUCAUAAAGAGGAUCACUAGAAAUGACUAAUAUCGAAAUGGUAUAAGCUCCUGUGGUACAUGUUUGUAAAUGGAAGUACAAUAAAAAUGAUGCAAAAAUAAAGGUGUACAACAGGCUGAGUCGACCCAAAUUUUGUACGCUAAAAAGAAGGAAUAUAAAUGAGUAAUAUUGAUAUAAUAUAAACUCCAUUGCUAGAUGUUUGUAACUAUAGUACAAUAAAAAUGACGAGACAAUAAAGGUGCACAAAGGCUGGGUCGGCCAAAAUUGGUACAAGCAAGACCAAUAUAAAGUUGUGCAACGAGUUGGGUCGGCUUAAACCUUGUAGUACAAUAUAGUUGCUAGCGAGUUUAUGAAGACUUAUUAUAAAUGAGCUACAUAAGUACGAUACAAAAUUAUUUUGAUGGGAGAAAUGACCUUGU
rnacentral:lncRNA from 1 species